UGUCUUCAGGGUGGGGGUGAAAUUCCCCAACCGGCGGUAAUACGGGGAAUGUCCCCGAUUGAGCCCGCGAGCGCUGCGUUUUUUUAGCGCAGCCGCAGAGUCCGGUCAGAUUCCGGCGCCGACGGUACAGUCCGGAUGGAAGAGGAC
rnacentral:ncRNA from 1 species